GGUCAAUGAUGUAAAGUAAAAGGUCUGAUAUCCAGGUCUCCUCCCAGUCCUUUCGCCCCUCCCAGCAGCCCCUGUUAAUUUUUCCCCAGCAUGCUCUAGUUGUGCAUUGCUGGUUCAAGGCGGCUGCUGAUACCGUGGACGUUUUUGCAAAAUAAGAGUCUUUUAGAGAACCAAGUGAGACCUCUAGAGCAGCGUCCAACAGAAUUACAACACAAAGGAGGGCCGGACAGGUGGAAGAACAUAAAAACUGGUGUAUGAUCUCAAGUUUUCAAGCUGAGACC